GACGAACGCUGGCGGCGUGCUUAACACAUGCAAGUCGAACGGAAAGGCCUGCUUUCCCUUGUGGAUUGCGGGUACUCGAGUGGCGAACGGGUGAGUAACACGUGAGUGAUCUGCCCCCAACUUGGGUAUAAGCCUGGGAAACUGGGUCUAAUUCCCGAUAGGACUGCAGGGUGGUGCCUGUGGUGGAAAACGAUUUUCUAGUGGUUGGGGAUGGGCUCGCGGCCUAUCAGCUUGUUGGUGGGGUAAUGGCCUACCAAGGCGGCGACGGGUAGCCGGCCUGGGAGGGUGGACGGCCACAUUGGGACUGAGAUACGGCCCAGACUCCUACGGGAGGCAGCAGUGGGGAAUAUUGCACAAUGGGCGGAAGCCUGAUGCAGCGACGCCGCGUGGGGGAUGACGGCCUUCGGGUUGUAAACUCCUUUCGACCGCGAGGAAGCCACCUGGUUGGAAGGGUGGUGACGGUAGUGGUAGAAGAAGCACCGGCUAACUACGUG
rnacentral:rRNA from 1 species